UUCCGAGUUUUUUUUUCCCUCUGAUAUUUGUUCAUACUUUUUUUAAAGAAAAAAAAAAAGGAAAAAGCGCUUUAACUGGUGCAGAGCGCCGGUCGUGGUGGCUUCACGGUGGGCUGACGGCGGCGGCGUGGAGGUGCUAAGCAAAACGGCGCCGUUUUGUGAGGGAGGAUCCGCGCGUCGACCCGACCCGGUCCCAAGAUCCGCGCAUUUCCUAAUGUAGGGGGUAAUUUCACUUUUAGCCCUUCCGAUUUUCUAUCACUUUGUAAUCAAGUUUUUUUAUUUUUCAAUUUUGCCCAAAAUUUUUCUUUGAUUUCAAUUAAGUCUUGCGCAAAAUGCUGCGUUUUGAAGGGCAGGAAUAUUUUUA